CUCCCCCUAAAAUCUUCUACCCAAGCAUAGGUUUUUAAAAACCCUUUCUUUACCUUACCCCCAAAAACCUCCAUCCAAGCAGACCCUAAAUACCAUUGCUUCCACCGAAGCCGGCUUAUUUUCCUAUUCUGUCUUCUUCUAGUCUUCGUCCCUCAUCGGGGUUUCCUUGCAAUCCCCCUCUAAUCUCCUCCAGUUUCUUUAGAUCUCUUUUGGAAUUUCUCUGUGAGAGCUCACUCAACUCGGAUUCGUGUUUUUAAGGUUUUGUUAGUGUUUUGGCUGGAUCUUUUGUGGGAAUCAGUGGAUUUUUCCUUGUUUGAAAAGAUAUUCAAAGAGUCAGGUACCAAAUAACGUGUUGAAGUGAAGGAAAAACUUGAUCCUGCAUCCAGGAUUGGAAGAUGAAGCAUUAGUUUCUAGUGAUGAUGAAGAUGAUGAGGAAAAUGAAGCUACUGGAAUGACUUUGUUAUGCUUCUAUACAUUAUAUUUUGGUUUCUAUGCAACAUGUCUACAAGGAUGGUAAGAUUGAAGGUAUCGUAUAUCCUGAUGAAAUAAAGGAGUGUGAGCACCAUUUCUCCAGGUUUAGAUGCUCUUGUUCAUCAACAUUUUUUUUUUGGUUGCCUAUAUGAAUAUGGCAGUUUACUUUAGACCUGUUAAAGCUUUCAGUCAAGUGAAUUUGUGGAUUUGAUAUGCUUCUAUGUGCUGUUAAUGAAUGAUGUUCCUGUUCAUUUUCC